UCCCAUCCUAAAUAGCUCUCCCUCCCCUUCUCUUGAACCCCAGGAAGUUACAACACUCUCAGACCUSCGAGCCCAACUGCGACCAAAUUGUUCCUCAGUCAGACUUGCCAGUGAAAGAAAGCCUUGCAUUUGCCAGAAUGCUUUCAGAUUGUCAUCUUUGCCAGCCAAAGCAGUCUCUUCUUGUCUGCUUCCAAGAAGCAUGAGCUUAAACAACUGGUCUCAGAGUGGGGUGUAUCUACAGUCUUAGCCAUGAGGAGAGGUGAUGAAAUGUUCUCCUCUUCAGUAUAUGCAGAAGAGACUGGAGCUUAGCUCCUAUCUUCAUAACAGUAAAACUACAGUGAAAUCUGAAUUCUUUGUUCAUGUUUCACUGCCUACUUUGAGGAAAACAGUGAUCAUGAGAUCAGACGUCAGCCUCAGGGAAGGACUACUUUGCAUUCAGGAAGUUGCUCGUUUUGUGAUUAGCAUCACCAUGGCCCCGGAGGGAAGGGAUGGCACUGUCUGGAUAGAUUUCAGAUCUGCUGAGGGAACUUGCACCUGA
rnacentral:lncRNA from 1 species